GCCACUGGCUUUCCUCCUCCGAUGAGGGCAUCACUGCCAGAAACCAUCUGGCGAAGUGGAUAAUAAGAUGAUGAAAACACAAUAAAAGCGAACAUAUCUCGUCGAUUAUAUUCUCUGACGCAUCCUCUCCGUUUGUUUAUCGUUCGAUAGGUCGUCUCCCGAUAUGUCAUGCUGCACAUCAACGCAGAUAAGAUAAAAUGAAUUCGAGCCGAGAGAUAAAGGAGAAUCGGUGGUGAUAAUACUGACAUUUGAGAGACAAGCAAAUCCGGAAGCCGAAUGGAAGGCAGAAUUAAGAGCAAUACGAAACAUCGAAAUUUGUUGCAGUUCUUCGAUUCAUGCAACUUACGAUGGACAUAGCGGUCUUGCUUACCGUUGACCUUACUCAAAGAAACCGGAGAACCACUUUCGCGUGCACUUAUAUUUCGCAGCGGUAAUUCAACAUUUAUGAGCCCGCAUUGAAGCACGCGGAGGUCACGCGUUUUACCAAGGCUGAUUAACUCCCGGAAUUAAUGCAAGACCUACUAGGGUAACGCGCAUAUUAUACAAAGGCUCUCUUUCACGUGUUCAUACAUACUAAUUCAUCGAUCUAUAUGUAUGUAGUAACACAACUUUCUGUAUAGCGCAUAUAUAUAUACAGGAAAAUUCUGCGAUUAUUUAUACAAAGUUUACGAAAGAGUUGCAGAAAAAAUAGACAUGAUGAAACUCACAAAUUUAUGUAAAAACUAAUAGCAGAAAAUUCUUAACACGUAACCAGACAUUAUAAAGUACGUAAAAUUUCAAAAAUAUUGCAAUGUCUUAUCUCAAAUUUUAACUUUUAAAUUUUUAUUAACGUUCUGUCGUGUUGUUGUUUACAGUCGUCUUCGUCAAUAUUAUCUCAUUAUAAAAAAGUGCAAAUUUACAUGAAUAAUUCCCGAUUAUUAAGGAUAAGAAAAAACUGCGUCAUCAAAUUGCAAAAAAGAAAGAAGCGUUAAAAUUAUAUUCUUCCUUUGUCAAUAGACGUUAAUCUUCCCGGAUAGAAAGAUGCGCAUGCGAUUCGAUUUCUGCAAUUUUCAUGUCAUAUUCUCACAAUUAAUUACGUUUUUCAAACGUUCAAUGUUGGCUUUUUAUUGUCGCGGGCGCGAUCAUAUACGUACGCGAUUUAUCGAUCCGAAACCGAUUACGCGGCUCCGUAGUCACCGUAUAUAUACAUUUUCCGAACUUCAAAGUAUAUACAUAUAGAUGCAUAGACUUGAGUUGCGAGUAUGUAAAUACCGUGUGUAUAUACACGUGCACGUGUCAAUCUGGUAUUCGCUAAUGUCGCCGACAAUCACAUCCGCGUCAUGGCUCACGUUUUCGCAGUCUUCUAUUUUCUCAUCGUUAGUUAUUUUUGAAACGCGACCGAAUACGUACAGUAGAGCGACCGACGACAAAAGACAUUAGCGUUUUGUUUCAUAUUUGCCUCUUUUUAUACAUAUUUCUCGCAUCGGAAUAAAGAAAAUGAGUUGGAUGCGUCGAUUAAUUUUCGUGGCUCGUCAGGCUAUUGAUGAAAAUCCAAUCAAUGCGGCAAAGAUGAUUUUCACUUUGAGCACUCUAGGAUGAGAUUAUUUUCUGUAAGAGGCUGUUGUUUUAUUCAGCAUCGUGAGACGCGGCGCACUUCUUUGCCAACAACUGCAGUCGAUCACUCAUCACAAAGUCACCCUCGCGUUCUUACAUACGACAUACGUCAGCAACAGCACAAGAGUGUGAAUAUAAUCGAACGCGCGAAUAAAUUUACGUAACAAUGUCGUACGGCGAUUUCGUACGAGGAUAGACAGGCGUACGGAUGAUCCGUUGAUUAACAAUACCAAUGACUAGCGAUUUCGUCGUGGAGAGAUUAAUGUCAGAAUUUAAUUUGAAUAUUUACAUACGGAUAAUAUACAUAGAUAUGGAGAGUAUGUAUUAAUAAUGUAAGAGUAUAUAUUAAAACAUCACGAUAUCUCAAAAUCACACCAUUAUCUUUUCUAAUCAAGUUAAUAUCUUUGAUAUUUUUCAAUAAAAUGUUUCUCUCUUUCUC